CGCAGCAUUAUAGCGGUUAUAUUAAGUUCGCAAACAACUAACGUAUACAGCAGCAUGAUGCGUGGAAUGUUGAUCCGUUUGGCUUUGUAUUUAGGAACCGAAACUUGGAUCAUCCUGCGCAUAUUAUCAUUUGCGUCAUGUGAUAUCCAAAUAACCAGCAGCAACGUUUCCCCACAAAGUUUUAAUUUGACAUGCCAAUGGACGGAUAAACACGCCCGUGCUGUUUUAUUUUUCAAAAGGUCUAUUAUUCAGUCGACAAUUACGGGUGUUGUUGCUGACAAUACAUUUUACAGUGCUUUGCAAAUACCUGAUUUUGAUAAGAAUUGCGAUAUAAAAUGCGUCCCACCCCUAACAGCUGGUUGUAAAUGCUUAAACAAAUAUUGCGUACAGUGCACGUUGAAUGUCCGACUUGAUAAACAGCAAGUUGACCAAUGGAAGUGUGUCGUUCAGUAUGAAGGAAACAUGACUUCCAGCAACGCUAUCAACGUCACGUAUGGUGAACUUUUACAAAUAACGCGGUUUGAAGUUGAAAUAUUUGACACCGUGUCCAAUGUUUCACUUAUUGAAAAUACAACCGCGGAAAUACGUUGCGUUGCUGAAGGCUGGCCGGU